GUAGGUGAACCUGCGGAAGGAUCAUUAAAAAAAAAGCUUAUGUUUACUUUAUUGUAACUUAAACUCAUUGUGCAAUGUAACAUGUUCUUGGUAGUUUAGUGUUUUUUAAGUUUUCGAAAAUCUCACGUCUUGGGCUUUUAUGAAGUCUAGGGAACUGCCGAUGGCUUAAGCCCUUAAAACAGGCUGUAGUCAAAAUAAAUCUAUAAACUCUAGUUUUUUAAUUGUCUGAUUCUAUUAUUUAAUAAAUAAUAACAACUUUUGACAACGGAUCUCUUGGCUCUC
rnacentral:misc_RNA from 1 species